UGACGCUGGCGGCAUGCCUAACACAUGCAAGUCGAACGAGAAAGCCCGGUUUUCGGAUUGGGCGAGUACAGUGGCGCACGGGUGAGUAACGCGUGGGUGACCUACCCCUGGAUUUGGGAUAACACUUCGAAAGGGGUGCUAAUACCGGAUACGAUUCCUUUGGGGGACCGAAGGGAUGAAAGGCGGCCUCUCUACAGAAGCUGCCGUACAGGGAUGGGCCCGCGUCCUAUCAGCUGGUUGGUGGGGUAACGGCCUACCAAGGCAACGACGGGUAGCUGGUCUGAGAGGAUGAUCAGCCACACUGGCACUGGAACACGGGCCAGACUCCUACGGGAGGCAGCAGUGAGGAAUUUUGCGCAAUGGGGGAAACCCUGACGCAGCAACGCCGCGUGAGUGAAGAAGGCCUUCGGGUCGUAAAGCUCUGUCAGGUGGGAAGAAAUGCUUUUGCGUGAACAACGUGGAGGUUUGACGGUACCACCAGAGGAAGCACCGGCUAACUCCGUGCCAGCAGCCGCGGUAAUACAAGCCGAAUUCCAGCCAAA
rnacentral:rRNA from 1 species